rnacentral:lncRNA from 1 species
GUUGACUUUCAGACCAGAGAAGCUAAUCAAAAACCAUCUAUAAGUCCAGAAUAUCCUUCAGAGAAGGUAACACUGAAAGACACAAAGUGCCUGAAGCAGUUUGCAGCACAGUGAGUCUGAUUUUUUUGGCUUCAAACACAAAGGAAAAAUCUGCAUGAAUUGCCCUCUGUGGAGGGGAUGCUAACUCUGAUGGCUCCUGCCCAGCACCCAGGCAAGGAGGAUGCAGUCCAGCAGCCUUCCAUAGUGCUGCACUGGGCCUUUCCUCCUGCCCUGUGACCCCAGGCUCCCUGCACAGCUGGCUGGGGGACACUGAUCUGCCAUCCAUGCUGUGGGGCAGGACCACCCACAGCAGGAGCCUGGGAAAGUAGCCAGGACAAUUACUCAUGGCCUGUAUAAUAGCUAAGCAUGUGGAGGGCCUUGCAACUCCCUUACAGCAUGUGUCACACUCGCCUGCCCAGCACUCUCCUGCGCCACACCAGCAUCUUUUUGCCUCGCUCUUCUAGUCUGAGUUGGUAAUUUUGUCUUUCUUCCUGCAGGUUCCUAAGAGAAACUGAUUAUUGUAGGACAAAAUUUGCCUCUUGCCGAUGAAUGCCACAUAUUUUGCACCCUACAAGUGCAAAUUGUCCUCUACUGACUGUGAAGAAAACUGAUUUUGUUUUAGAUACCUACAGCUGGCCAGGGUCCAUGAGCUUAUAUCCCUGGUGCUUGUUCAUGGUUCAGCCCUGCACCAAGCCCUGUUUGAGCACCUGCAGCACUGCCGGGCUCUGA